ensembl:snRNA U6 U6 spliceosomal RNA
AUGUUAGCUUCAGCAGCACAUAUACUAAAAUUGGAAUGAUACAGAGAAGAUUAGCAUGGCCCCUGCGCGAGAAUGACACAUAAAUUUGUGAAGCAUUCCAUCUUUUU